rnacentral:rRNA from 1 species
CAAUGGAUGGUACUGCUCUGGCUGGGGUUCACUUUCUGGUGAGCCGGUAUGCUCUUCACUGGGUGUGCCGAGGAACCAGGACUUUUACUUUGAAAAAAUUAGAGUGUUUAAAGCAGGCCUAUGCUUGAAUACAUUAGCAUGGAAUAAUAGAAUAGGACUUUGGUUCUAUUUUGUUGGUUUCUAGGACCGAAGUAAUGAUUAAUAGGGAUAGUUGGGGGCAUUAGUAUUUAGUAGCUAGAGGUGAAAUUCUUGGAUUUAUGAAAGACUAACUUCUGCGAAAGCAUUUGCCAAGGAUGUUUUCAUUAAUCAAGAACGAAAGUUAGGGGAUCGAAGACGAUCAGAUACCGUCGUAGUCUUAACCAUAAACUAUGCCGACUAGGGAUCAGACGAUGUUACUUUACUGACUCGUUUGGCACCUUAUGAGAAAUCAAAGUUUUUGGGUUCCGGGGGGAGUAUGGUCGCAAGGCUGAAACUUAAAGGAAUUGACGGAAGGGCACCACCAGGAGUGGAGCCUGCGGCUUAAUUUGACUCAACACGGGGAAACUCACCAGGUCCAGACAUAGUAAGGAUUGACAGAUUGAGAGCUCUUUCUUGAUUCUAUGGGUGGUGGUGCAUGGCCGUUCUUAGUUGGUGGAGUGAUUUGUCUGCUUAAUUGCGUUAACGAACGAGACCUUAACCUGCUAAAUAGUUAUGCCAACUUUUGUUGGUAGUCAACUUCUUAGAGGGACUGUCGGCGAUUAGCCGAUGGAAGUUUUAGGCAAUAACAGGUCUGUUAUGCCCUUAGAUGUCCUGGGCCGCACGCGCGCUACACUGAUGA